GAUGAACGCUGGCGGCGUGCUUAACACAUGCAAGUCGAACGGAAAGGCCCAAGCUUGCUUGGGUACUCGAGUGGCGAACGGGUGAGUAACACGUGGGUGAUCUGCCCUGCACUUCGGGAUAAGCCUGGGAAACUGGGUCUAAUACCGGAUAGGACGAUGGUUUGGAUGCCAUUGUGGAAAGUUUUUUCGGUGUGGGAUGAGCUCGCGGCCUAUCAGCUUGUUGGUGGGGUAAUGGCCUACCAAGGCGUCGACGGGUAGCCGGCCUGAGAGGGUGUACGGCCACAUUGGGACUGAGAUACGGCCCAGACUCCUACGGGAGGCAGCAGUGGGGAAUAUUGCACAAUGGGCGCAAGCCUGAUGCAGCGACGCCGCGUGGGGGAUGACGGCCUUCGGGUUGUAAACUCCUUUCGCUAGGGACGAAGCGUUUUGUGACGGUACCUGGAGAAGAAGCACCGGCUAACUACGUGC
rnacentral:rRNA from 1 species